rnacentral:rRNA from 1 species
UACGUAGGGGGCUAGCGUUGUCCGGAAUCAUUGGGCGUAAAGGGUGCGUAGGCGGCCGCGCAAGUCUGGCGUGAAAGCCCCGGGCUCAGCCCGGGAAGGGCGCUCGAAACGGCGCGGCUCGAGUGCCGGAGGGGAGAGUGGAAUUCCUGGUGUAGCGGUGAAAUGCGUAGAUAUCAGGAGGAAUACCGGUGGCGAAAGCGACUCUCUGGACGGCAACUGACGCUGAGGCACGAAAGCGUGGGGAGCAAACAGG